rnacentral:lncRNA from 15 species
AAACCCGGUAAAACGGGUAACCCGAAAAACCCCUUAAAAAAAGUUUAAACGGGUAAAAAAACGGGGGUUAAAAAAAAAGGGGUUUUAAAAAAAAAAAAAACCCCCGUUUUUAAAAAAAAAAACCGGUUUUUUUUUUUAAAAAAACGGUUUUUUUUUUAAAAAAAAAAACCCCCGUUUUUAAAAACCGGGGGGUUUAAAAAAAACGUUUUUUUUAAAAAAAACGUUUUUUUAAAAAAAAAAAAAACCNNNNNNNNNNNNNNNNNNNNUCUGUUAAGAUAACUGAACAUUUUGUGAGUCUCGAGGCAUUGUCAGCCUUUAUAUCUCAUUUGUAAAUGCUUAAUAAGCCAUAGAUAGUGCUCACUUUAGAUAAGCUCGUGCAAAAUACUUAAUUAACGAGUAGUAAGUGCUUUGUAACUGUGAAUUCCUGCAUUAAUCACUGUUUAUAGGCCAUCAUUAGAAAAUGAAUUUGUUGUGAGUUUUUAUAAAACAUCUGCUAACACAGUCACUAAUCAUUAAUACAUGUCUGAAUAGUGGAUGUGCAAGUGCAUGCAGAAAUGUACAGUACAAUGAAGAGUAAAACAUUUAUAACUGUGAUAAACCACAUAGUAAUGACUAUUUACAGCAGAAUCAUGCUUUAUAAAUGAUGAAUUCAGUAUUUACUAAUCCAUAACUAAUGUGCUUAUCAAUGAUGAAUAAAACAUUUUUAACUGUGUUUAUAAACUACAUACUAAUGUGUAUUCAUGCGUUAUAAAUGAUGAAUUCAGUAUUUAUUCAUGCUUAACUAAUGCUUAAUAGCGUGUACUCAUUAUAAAGUGUUACCCAAAAGCUGCUACAGAUCCAUAAGGAACAAUGGAAAGAGGAGAUAUGGUAUACAACCAAAGCGCAGACGUUUAGACAGAACUGUAUAAUAUUUAAUUUGAGAAAAGGGCAGAGAUCUAUGUGAUCUUUGUGUUAUUGAGGAUGAAUUUCAUUUUCUGUUUCACUGCACUGUUUGAAAAAACAUCCAGUUGAAGAACCCUGAUUUGUUUUGGUUGCCUGAAGGUGAAGUGUUGAGUUGGCUCUUUAAGAUUUAUAGAAAAUGUUUCCAACAUAAUAACACAUUUUUCUUCUGAUCUUAUGAAACGUUUUCUUUUUUGAAUUUGUGGAACUGUACUUUAUGAUUUGUCAUGUGGUCAUCUUGGCUGAUGUUGCUUUAGUGUCUUGUAAGCCCAUAUUGGCUCUUAAAUAAAUAAAAUCAAUCAAAAACCAAAAAACUGAGGAAAUAGUCCAUAGGGACACGAGGGAACAUGAGCAGAAAGCAACAUGUGUGAACAAGGACGAACUAGCACAGAGUGAAGGAGACACAGGCAAUAUAUACUCUAAUUAGACACAGGUGA